rnacentral:rRNA from 1 species
GAUGAACGCUGGCGGCGUGCCUAAUACAUGCAAGUCGAGCGAACGGACGAGAAGCUUGCUUCUCUGAUGUUAGCGGCGGACGGGUGAGUAACACGUGGAUAACCUACCUAUAAGACUGGGAUAACUUCGGGAAACCGUAGCUAAUACCGGAUAAUAUUUUGAACCGCAUGGUUCAAAAGUGAAAGACGGUCUUGCUGUCACUUAUAGAUGGAUCCGCGCUGCAUUAGCUAGUUGGUAAGGUAACGGCUUACCAAGGCAACGAUGCAUAGCCGACCUGAGAGGGUGAUCGGCCACACUGGAACUGAGACACGGUCCAGACUCCUACGGGAGGCAGCAGUAGGGAAUCUUCCGCAAUGGGCGAAAGCCUGACGGAGCAACGCCGCGUGAGUGAUGAAGGUCUUCGGAUCGUAAAACUCUGUUAUUAGGGAAGAACAUAUGUGUAAGUAACUGUGCACAUCUUGACGGUACCUAAUCAGAAAGCCACGGCUAACUACGUGCCAGCAGCCGCGGUAAUACGUAGGUGGCAAGCGUUAUCCGGAAUUAUUGGGCGUAAAGCGCGCGUAGGCGGUUUUUUAAGUCUGAUGUGAAAGCCCACGGCUCAACCGUGGAGGGUCAUUGGAAACUGGAAAACUUGAGUGCAGAAGAGGAAAGUGGAAUUCCAUGUGUAGCGGUGAAAUGCGCAGAGAUAUGGAGGAACACCAGUGGCGAAGGCGACUUUCUGGUCUGUAACUGACGCUGAUGUGCGAAAGCGUGGGGAUCAAACAGGAUUAGAUACCCUGGUAGUCCACGCCGUAAACGAUGAGUGCUAAGUGUUAGGGGGUUUCCGCCCCUUAGUGCUGCAGCUAACGCAUUAAGCACUCCGCCUGGGGAGUACGACCGCAAGGUUGAAACUCAAAGGAAUUGACGGGGACCCGCACAAGCGGUGGAGCAUGUGGUUUAAUUCGAAGCAACGCGAAGAACCUUACCAAAUCUUGACAUCCUUUGACAACUCUAGAGAUAGAGCCUUCCCCUUCGGGGGACAAAGUGACAGGUGGUGCAUGGUUGUCGUCAGCUCGUGUCGUGAGAUGUUGGGUUAAGUCCCGCAACGAGCGCAACCCUUAAGCUUAGUUGCCAUCAUUAAGUUGGGCACUCUAAGUUGACUGCCGGUGACAAACCGGAGGAAGGUGGGGAUGACGUCAAAUCAUCAUGCCCCUUAUGAUUUGGGCUACACACGUGCUACAAUGGACAAUACAAAGGGCAGCGAAACCGUGAGGUCAAGCAAAUCCCAUAAAGUUGUUCUCAGUUCGGAUUGUAGUCUGCAACUCGACUACAUGAAGCUGGAAUCGCUAGUAAUCGUAGAUCAGCAUGCUACGGUGAAUACGUUCCCGGGUCU